ACUUGAAUCACUUUGGGACCUUGUUAAAACGCAAAUUCUGAUUUAGUCAGUCCGGGGCGGGGCCUUAUAGUCUGUAUUUCUAACAAGCUCCCAGGUGGUGCUGAU
rnacentral:pre_miRNA from 1 species